rnacentral:rRNA from 1 species
AUGAAUUUCUUGGCCUGGAACUGUCGGGGACUGGGGUUGGACCCGACGGUUGGCGAGCUCCGAGACCUGAUACGGUCAUACAACCCAGCGGUGGUGUUUCUGAGUGAGACAAAGAAGAGGGCAAGGGCUAUGGAGAAGGUUCAAUGGAGUUUGGGGUUUCAGAAUGGUAUAGCAGUAGAUUGUGUGGGGAGAAGUGGGGGGCUAGCUCUAUGGUGGAGAGACAAUGUCAGUGUAACUUUG